rnacentral:rRNA from 1 species
AGGGUUCGAUCAUGGCUCAGAACGAACGCUGGCGGCAGGCCUCAUACAUGCAAGUCGAGCGGUCCUUCGGGACAGCGGCGAACGGGUUAGUAACGCGUGGGAACGUGCCCUUUAGUACGGAAUAGCCAUUGGAAACGAUGAUUAAUACCGUAUACGCCCCAAGGGGGAAAGAUUUAUCGCUAAAGGAUCGGCCCGCGUUAGAUUAGGUAGUUGGUAGGGUAAUGGCCUACCAAGCCGACGAUCUAUAGCUGGUUUGAGAGGAUGAUCAGCAACACUGGGACUGAGACACGGCCCAGACUUCUACGGAAGGCAGCAGUAGGGAAUCUUGGACAAUGGGCGAAAGCCUGAUCCAGCCAUGCCGCGUGAGUGAUGAAGGCCCUAGGGUUGUAAAGCUCUUUCGCCAGGGAAGAUAAUGACGGUACCUGGUAAAGAAACCCCGGCUAACUCCGUGCCAGCCGCCGCGGUAAUAC